rnacentral:rRNA from 1 species
CGUGCAGGCGGGCCUGCAAGUCUGAUGUGAAAGCCCCGGGCUCAACCUGGGAAGUGCAUUGGAAACUGCGGGUCUUGAGUUCUGGAGAGGAAGGGGGAAUUCCCGGUGUAGAGGUGAAAUUCGUAGAGAUCGGGAGGAAUACCAGUGGCGAAGGCGCCCUUCUGGACGGCAACUGACGCUGAGACGCGAAAGCGUGGGGAGCAAACAGGAUUAGAUACCCUGGUAGUCCACGCUGUAAACGAUGAGCACUAGGUGUAGCGGGUACUCAUUCCUGCUGUGCCGCAGCUAACGCGUUAAGUGCUCCGCCUGGGGAUUACGGUCGCAAGACUAAA